GUUCCAAAAUCUGCCAUGAUGGGAUUCAAACACGGGUCCCCAGAAUGUUACCUGGGUCUCUGGAUUAACUGUCGAGCGAUAAUUUCACUCCGUCAUCACUGCCACUUAGGAAAUGAGGCAAUAUACCAGUGAUCAAUGCCAAAGCCCCAUUACUUGUUGGGAAGGUGAUGUUUGACUUCCUGUACAGCUGCAAUUCGUGUGGUGAAGGUGCUCCCACAAUGUGGUUGAAGACAGGGCUCCAGUGCCUGCAUGAGGACUGCAACUCCCAAAUUCCGAAGCAGGGACCACACGUCUGUGGGGAAACCUGGCACUGCACAAGUACAGAUUGUGGGUGAGUUUUGGAGCAUGUGCUUUGUGGUAACGAGUGGAAAGUAUUUCACACUGUGAUUGUCUGGAGUAGGAACGUAUUUGCUUGUAGUAUUGAUUUGUUGGAGGGUCAAAGUGUCACCACACCCACAUGGGACCAAGUUACAUUGCCAACUUAU